AUGUGAUUGGAUCCAGUAAACUUGAUAUUGAAAUAAGUGGCAAUAACUUGGUGGUGGUGAACAAUGGGAUUCAUGCGGUAUACAAGUAGCAUGCUCGGUGAGGAUCUGGGUGCAAUUGAUCAUGAUAUUGAUGAUACAGCCUCCAAAGGUACCUGAAAUAAGUGAUUCCAUGAUGACGAUGAUGGGUGGGGCCUAGUGAUGAAGACUACUCUUAUGACGAACCACCUCCAAUAUAAGAGAAAUUUUUGACCGCUUUGCCUGUAAGUCAUCAUCUUUCUUCUUUCUAUUAUACAAUUUACAAAUCUUGAUGUUUUCUUUAUUUUGGGGAGGGAAUCCAAUGAAAUGAAAGUGUAGGUUUUGAUUGUCAGGUUUAUUUUUGGCAUGACAACAAAUUUAAUUUGUCAUAGGUAUAAAAUUAUAAAGUUUUUCUUUUUGGAGUUCCCUUACUAGCAUUUAAAAAAUAAAUAUAAAUCAUAGCAUUUAGUGUGCAGAUGUACCGUAGCAUAUUACCUUUUGGCCCUCAUAUAGCCACUUUUUUUCCCUUUAAAAUCAGGUUGGAAUAAUUUAAUUUUUUCUUGCUGUCUUGUUGGGGCACUUUUAUAUGGCGGCGGUAAGAGGGAUAGUUAGCAGAGCCAUUUUGAAGAAUUAGACAAGUAGGGUUCCUUCUCUCACAUCCACCUGGGCUCUUUCUAAAGUGGUCAAGCUCAAGGACUCAAAAUGUGCAGCAGCAAAAACAACAUGCUCUAUGAGGAUCUGGGUGUAAUCCAUCAUGAUAUUGACAAUUUAGCUGCAGAAGGUAGCAGAAAUAAGCGAAGUCAUUAUGAGGAUGAUGGGGCUAGACCUAGUGGAGAAUACUAUUUUAAUGAGAGACCAAAUCCAAAGACUUGGAGUAUGUAUGGCUGAUUCUUUAGGGAGUUAUUUGACUUCUUUUCCUCCUAUGGUGGCAGUAAGAGGGAUAGUUACCAGAGGUCGUUGAAGAAUUACCCAAGGAAGGUCUCUCCUCUCACACCCACCUGGGCCCUCGUUAAAGUGGUCAAGAAAUAGCCUUGGAGGGUUCCUUUUUGCUGUAUGUGUGUGGCUUUGUUCAAUUGGUUUUAUAGAGUUUAAGCACUGGCAUCAGUUUAUAGAAAUUAAAGAUUCUCUUGUCUCGUGCUAUUUUGUAAUCUCCUAUUUUCUUAGUGAAAUUUUCUGUUAGACAUUGUCCGUGGAUGUAGGCCCAAGGCAGAAGUGUUUCAUGUGUGAUGUCUUUUUCUA